rnacentral:lncRNA from 1 species
GUUUGAUGAUUGAUAAUGAGUAAGAAUAGAAUAUUUCAAUACCUGAAACAAAUGCGUUGAGGCGCAUUCUCAUCAUCCCUCUAAUAUCUAAUGAUAAGUGUGUUCUUACACACUUAUUUAGAUCACAAACAUGACUUAAUUAAGAGCAAAAUGUUUAAAUUGUGACUUAAUCUCGUUGAAUUCAUGCAAUGUACGUGUUUCUAUGGAAAUGGUGAAAUUCAGUAGAAAAGGGCCAAAAAAGACUAAAAUUGAGCAAAGUGAUAGUUCGGGGAUUAAGGAUACAAAUAUUCAAAGUUGAACUAAAAAGCAACCCGGGAAUGCAAAUAUACUAAGUAUGAACUCGAACGCGGUACAAGAUGAUUGGAAGAAGAAGGAAUUGCAAAGGGACUAAAAUGAAGAAGAAUGGAAGUUCAAGGACCAAAAUGGACUUUUUGCAUAGUUUGUAGCACCUCAUAGUGCUACCCUCUGUGCGGUCGCAUAGAGGCAGACCGAGAAUAAUUUCUCAAAAAAUUUUACUUUAUGCGAUCGCAUAACCGCAUAGAAAUGUACUAUGCGGUCGCAUAGAGUAGUUCGGAGGCCGAAUCUACAAUUUCCUUAUUUCCCCGAAACUCUUAUGAAAACAAGAUUUUUGGGGUCCCAUAUAAACAAAAAUUCGACCAGAACGAAGGGGACGGCGAUUUUAGAAGAAAAUGAAAGAUUUUGAAGAAGAAAACGAAGAGAGAACAAGAGGAAAACAUCGCACCAAUUGAAGAAUUGAUUGAAACUUG